ensembl:lncRNA
AUUGGGACCAAACUGUAUAUAAUGAUGGAUGACAAAUGAUAUACUCAAGACAAUCUCAUCGAAUCACAUUAACAACGAGUGUGAGUAUGUUGAGUGAAUGGUAAGGAUAUGUUGCCUUUGCGUUUGCGACUGGGAUUCAAAACUUUUUUCCAUUUAGUCAGUCUAUCCACUAGUAUGUCAGUGGGGAACAACAGCAUACUCAGCUGUGGGGCAUUCAAAACUGGGUGUGGCUCUACCAAACAUUAUGUCACCCCGAGCCAAUAGAAACAGUGGUCUAGAGGAUGUCCACUUUAUUUGUUUAAACUGAUUAGUAUUGUAAAAGUUUUUUGACAUGACUAUAAGGCAUAGUAAACACUAUCAGCUGAAUCCAUUCGAUACAAAUACAAUUUUAGAUUUAAGUCACUAUUGUACAUUUUUUAAAAACAAAUAUGACAAGCUUAAUCCACAUUAUGCACCUUUUUGUCACUUGACCAUCAUGGCACAGUAAGAAAACAAGGCAAUAUUAUACAUUCUGACUUCCAAAUGCAGCAACCUGAAGUCACAAUAUCUUACGUCAAUGUCAGCUAGUAGCUCUUUCUUGAAGUCAGACCUAGCCACGAACAGCCCCGUUUCAUCUGCAUGUCAUCGCUCUGAAUCACCAGCCUGGGCUGGACUGUGUCAAUACCCACUUCCUGUCCGGCGGUGAAGGUGAAUUUCAACAGGGCCUGAGCAGAUCCUUCACCACCGCCCAGACAGACUGUUAGGGGCCCGAUCAGAGGGGUCUUCCAGUGUGGCUGCAGCCUGCUGCUCUGCGGAGCCUGAGACACGGCUGCACAUCCCCACUGUGGCUGCCCAGUUUCCGGCAGAUGCCCCAGCACUGAGCCGGGUGGGAUCCUACCACAAAAUGAGGGUUGCGUAAAAAACAAAAAAAGGAUGAAACGGUGAGAAGAGAGGCUCCCUCCCUCGACCUGAGGACCAACUCUUUCCGCUGGCCGGGGCUCAUGGGAGACCCCCGAGGCGCGCUGUGGUCGACAUGUAGUCCGUCUCCGAGCAGAUGUCAACCUUGUCUUCUUUUUUUCGAGCUGCUGUCACCACAGGCCAGCCGGUGUAACGGAUUUCUUCCUCCUGGGCCACGUCGAGCAGCCGUUGCAAUCUGCACAACAUAUUCUAUAGAUCUACGCAACAUAUUCUACAGAUCUGAACAACAUACUCUACAGAUCUAUGCAACAUAUUCUACAGAUCUAUGAAGCCUACUCAACAGAUCUAGCAGCCUACUCAACAGAUCUAGCAGCCUACUCAACAGAUCUACACAACAUAAUCAACAAUAAUGAUGAUAAUUAUAUAUAUUUUUC